rnacentral:rRNA from 1 species
UUAAAGGGUACCUAGACGGUAGAUCAAGCUUUCUAAUAAAUGAAAAGGACUAAUUUACUAGAGUUACUUAUGAGGGGGUAUUAAAGUACUGCUGGUGUAGAGAUGAAAUUCUGUCAUACCUCUUUUCAAAAGAAAAACCAUGGCACAGGUAUAGGCGAAGGCAUCCCCUUAUGUGAUAACUGACGUUGAGGGACGAAGGCUUUGUGUAGCGAACAGGAUUAGAUACCCCCGUAGUCGAAGCAGAAAAUGAUGAAUGUCAUAGAUUAGAUGUAUAAGUUUAUUCUAUAAAUGAAAGUGUAAGCAUUCCCCCUCAUGAGUAAUUUGGCAACAUUGGAACUGAAAUCAUUAGACCGUUUCUGAAACCAGUAGUGAAGUAUGUUGUUUAAUUUGAUGAUCCGCAAAAAACCUUACCCCAAUUUGAAAAUUUAUAUUUUUUAUUGUUUUCUUCUCUUUUUUCUUCAAGAAAAUUAAGAAAGAGGCAAUAAGAUAUAUUUACAAGCGUUGCACGGCUGUCUUCAGUUAAUGUCGCGAGACUUUGGUUAGUUCCAUUAAAUUAACGUAAACCCUUACGUUAUUUUUAUA